rnacentral:rRNA from 1 species
GCACGGGAGACAGAGCACCGGGUGCUAACGUCCGGACUCAAGAGGGAAACAACCCAGACCGCCGUUUAAGGUCCCAAAUAUUGACUAAGUGGAAAACGAAGUGUGAAGGCUAAGACAGUCAGGAAGUUGGCUUAGAAGCAGCCAUCCUUCAAAGAAAGCGUAAUAGCUCACUGAUCGAGUCCUCAUGCGCGGAAGAUGUAACGGGGCUAAGUCAAUAACCGAAAGCGCGGAUUUGCACGAUGAGUGCAAGUGGUAGGGGAGCGUUCUGUAAGCCUGCGAAGGUGGUUCGAGAGGACUGCUGGAGGUAUCAGAAGUGCGAAUGCUGACAUGAGUAACGUUAAAGCGGGUGAAAAGCCCGCUCGCCGUAAGCCCAAGGUUUCCUGCUCUACGUUCAUCGGAGCAGGGUGAGUCGGCCCCUAAGGCCAGGCUGAGAAGCGUAGUCGAUGGGAAGCAGAUUAAUAUUUCUGCACCAUGUGCAAGUGCGAUGGGGGGACGGAGUGCGAAAGAUCAUCCGGGUGUUGGAUGUCCCGGUUUGUGAGUGUAGAAGGCCGACAGGCAAAUCCGUCGGCGGAUCUUCGAGACAAAGCAUCGAGGUUCUACGGAACCGAAGUGAUCGGAAGUGCUUCCAGGAAAAGCCUCUAAGCUCCAGCUUGCAUAUGACCGUACCGUAAACCGACACUGGUGGGCGAGUUGAAUAUACUCAGGCGCUUGAGAGAACUCGGGAGAAGGAACUCGGCAAAUUGACACCGUAACUUCGGGAUAAGGUGUGCCUUUGUAGCGUGAAGAGAGAAACACUCGGAGCGUGAAGAGGCCUCAGAGAAUCGGUGGCUGCAACUGUUUAUUAAAAACACAGCACUCUGCAAAGACGAAAGUCGACGUAUAGGGUGUGAUGCCUGCCCGGUGCUGGAAGAUUAAGUGAUGGGGUGAGAGCUCCUGAUCGAAGUCCCAGUAAACGGCGGCCGUAACUAUAACGGUCCUAAGGUAGCGAAAUUCCUUGUCGGGUAAGUUCCGACCUGCACGAAUGGCAUAAUGAUGGCCACACUGUCUCCUCCCGAGACUCAGUGAAGUUGAAAUGUUUGUGAUGAUGCAAUCUCCCCGCGGCUAGACGGAAAGACCCCAUGAACCUUUACUGUAGCUUUGCAUUGGACUUUGAACCGAUUUGUGUAGGAUAGGCGGGAGGCAGAGAAAGCGCAACGCCAGUUGUGCCGGAGCCGACGUUGAAAUACCGCCCUGAUUUGUUUGAGGUUCUAACCGCGACCCGUGAGCCGGGUUCGGGACCGUGCAUGGCAGGCAGUUUGACUGGGGCGGUCUCCUCCUAAAGGGUAACGGAGGAGUACGAAGGUACGCUAGGUACGGUCGGAAAUCGUGCUGAUAGUGCAAAGGCAAAAGCGUGCUUGACUGCGAGACCGACAAGUCGAGCAGAUGCGAAAGCAGGUCUUAGUGAUCCGGUGGCUCUGUAUGGAAGGGCCAUCGCUCAACGGAUAAAAGGUACUC